AUCCCUGUGGCUCAGUUGGUAGAGCAUGGUGUUUGCAAUGCCAGCAUGGUGUGUGCAACGCCAGGGUUGUGGGUUUGAUUCCCACGGGGGGCC
rfam:Salmo salar isolate Sally breed double haploid chromosome ssa01, whole genome shotgun sequence.